rnacentral:tRNA from 1 species
CGGGGCGUGGCGCAGCCCGGCUAGCGCACUUCAAUGGGGUUGAAGGGGUCGGAGGUUCAAAUCCUCUCGCCCCGACCA